AUUGAACGCUGGCGGCAUGCCUUACACAUGCAAGUCGAACGGUAACGCGGGGCAACCUGGCGACGAGUGGCGAACGGGUGAGUAAUAUAUCGGAACGUGCCCAGUAGUGGGGGAUAGCCCGGCGAAAGCCGGAUUAAUACCGCAUACGACCUACGGGUGAAAGGGGGGGAUCGCAAGACCUCUCGCUAUUGGAGCGGCCGAUAUCAGAUUAGGUAGUUGGUGGGGUAAAAGCCCACCAAGCCAACGAUCUGUAGCUGGUCUGAGAGGACGACCAGCCACACUGGGACCGAGACACGGCCCAGACGCCUACGGGAGGCAGCAGUGGGGAAUUUUGGACAAUGGGCGAAAGCCUGAUCCAGCCAUGCCGCGUGCGGGAAGAAGGCCUUCGGGUUGUAAACCGCUUUUGUCAGGGAAGGAAUCCUUUGAGCUAAUACCUCGGGGGGAUGACGGUACCUGAAGAAUAAGCACCGGCUAACUACGUGCCAGCCGCCGCGGUAA
rnacentral:rRNA from 1 species